CGAUGGGGCAUCUACAGCUUGUCUGGGCAGCCCGUUCCUAUGCCUCACCAUGCUGACAACUCAGACCAAGACAUGCCUGGAAAGCUGAGCAAAAGAGAAAGAACAAGAAAAUGCCUCUUCCCUUCCUGAGGCAACUCAGGUGGGCUUGGCUGGUAGCAGGAUCCCAACGCCUGGUCCCUGGUCAGGCAUCUGGAUGUGCUGUGUGCCUGCACCUCAGGGCUGCUCUCAGACUGAAAAGAAUGCCUGGGCUGAAGCUGGCCAGUUGCUCAGAAAGCCAUGUUAGGAAGGUACCAGUAAAAAAGAAAGAUUUCAAAAUGAUUUGCCAUACGCUAUUUUGAAACAAUGAGAACAGCAGCAGAAUUAUCUAUGAACCAUCUCUGCUUGGAAAGCCACCAGGAGGAGGCCUGGCCUUCCCAGAAGUGCACCAACAGCAGCAAAGAGUCUCUUGCAACCACUUAGCUACCUCUUUCUGCUCCGCAGCUGGGAUUAAUGCCCAAUUCUGUGAGCAUUUUUCCUCUUCCUCCUGUUUGCUCCACUGCAAAGUCAGACAGCUUAGUAUAAACUCCCUUCAAAGAAGCAUUCCAGCUGCUGAAUCAGCUGAGAAGACAAAGAGCAAGGCUGGUGUGAAGCCCAUUCUGGAGCAGUGGAAACCAACAAAAUUAAAACAAACAAACAAAAAAAUAUAUGAGGAAUCUGCACACAGGUGAGUCUAUAGUACGAUUGUAUGAUAUAUUGAAACCCCUUUUUUGUGUAAUGUCUGGAAUUUCACUUGCUAUUUUUGUAGCAAACAAGAAGGUUGUGGUGUACGCAACUGAUACAGGUGAGAUCUUAGAUAUAGUUGUCAGCAAAAUCACCUGUUCAGUAACUUUCAUGAAAAAAGAAAAUAAAUGAGAGUGGGAGCUGCACGCUUCCUUCUGAAUUAUCCUUCACUUCAGUGAAACACAGGGUUGCUAUUUAAGAAUAAUAGUAGUGAAGAAGGUUAGGCCCAGAAACUUAUUUGAAGUCUUAUGUGUAUUCACUGUCCAGACGUAUAAGAGAGGAGACGGACCUCAAGUAGAUGCUCAGUCAUGUCAGAGAAUCUCUGUAUUUUUUUGGGAAUGUUUCAUUUUGGUGAUUUAUAUGGGUGAACCUUGAAUUGUGAGAGAGGCUUGAGGGUAACAGCCAACCUUUCCAUUGUGUAUGAGUUUCACUGACACACAGAAAGCUUGAGGUACUUUCAGCAGUUCAGCUAAUUACUCAUGCAACAAUUAUAAACCUUUCAAUGUCAACAGUACCUGCAACCCUGAAUUUAUAUGAGGCUAUUUUUAUUUCUAGGGGAAGAGUAUUUGCAGUAUUCCCUUUAAGAUGCCCUAAAGCAACGUUUGAAUGUUUGCAAUGUGGGGAACUUCAAUUUCUUGGCACCAACCAUAUUCCAUGAGUUAGACUGUCAGCAACCAGUCAGUGAUUAUAUAAUCUGACCUGCAAAGCCUUUUAAAAAAGGCAUUUAAAACAAAAUACCUAAGAUCAGAAAAUGUAGACACUGAAAAGCUUUUAUGGUGCUAGAAUAAUCAUUCAAAUUCUGUUCUAAAAGUAGCAAGUAUAGCUUUAAAUGUAUAUCUAUAUAUCUUCUUAACCUUUAUACAGGCAGCAGGAGCACUGCAAGAUAAAUUUACAUUUCAUAGUGGGAAACAAACCAUCCCACAAAGAUACGAUAAAUCAUCAGAGGAACAACGAGGUGCCAUGACACAUGCAUAUGUUUUUCUACAGUCACAUGAAAUGAAGAUACGAGGCACAGAACCCAAUCUCCAUCUCAAAGAUUUGUUAACCAUAACCAAGCCUGUCUGCAUAAAGAGCAGCCUUGCUGAAAUUUCAAGUAUAGACUUUUUUUUUUUUCCAACAGCAGUUCCCCAAUUCUUUUUUUUUUAUUAAUGUGUCUUGGUCAAUCCACUAACCUAGUUUUCAAAUCACAAGGAUUCUUAAGACUUUGUUAUAUAGGCACAAGGGCAACAUAGACUUACUUCUAGUGAUAUUUUGAUUACAAGGAGGAAAAAAGGCUGCAAUUUUAGCAAAACAAGUUUUGUAAUAAGAUUAUUCAUUCUGGUUCAACAUCACUGACUUUUGUGAACAUAGACGAGAAAGAAGUUUGGACAAAUCAGUUUGUAGAAACAAAUGAAAAAUUCACAUAGAAAUAUUAUUUUGAUCAAGAAGUAAUUUCCAUGAAAGCAAACAAACAAAUUCCAUAUAAAAACAUGUUUAUUUCCUCCUUUUUUUUCUUUUUUCUUUUUUUUUUUUUGUUUUUGUUUUAAGUUUAUCUUUUUUUUUCCCCAUAGAAAACCCAACCAAUGCAUUUUAGUUUGGCUUUGUUUGACCCAAAUUAGGGUAUGGGGGAGGGGUGUUGAAAACUGAGCCAGAUUGUUUCAAAUCAACUGGCUUGGCAUAAAACUACAUUUCCUACCAAUGCUUUUGCUUUGCCAAUCAUAGCUUCAAUUCCCCAUCUCUUUUGGGCCAGCCUCCCUAGAAGACCAUAUAUCCUAUAAAGUAAUAAAUGGAUUUCACUGACACAUGGCUUGUCUACGAGAUAAUUAAUUCUCAGUAAGCGAGGAUAUGAAUUUACAGUGUACUAGCUAUGCUGCACUGACUGUCCAUAUGGACAUUCUAAUUGCAUUGUGGCUUACUCUAUCUAAAGAACAUUAAGGAUAUAACUACGCAGGCUCGUUACUAGGAAGAAAGCGAGGAUAAGGGUUUACUACUCUCUAUGGCACUAGCUGCUAUGCUUGAAUUGCCUUGGUGAGCACUCCUUUCUUGGAGUAAUGUGACAGAGCCCUGAGUAUCCAGGAUGGACUUGCUGUAGACUAAUUCUGUAAAUUCAGAACCUGAGCUGGCCUCUUCAGGGAAAUAUUGAUCCAUAUGAUGCAUCAUACUCCAGAUUAUGAAGCGGCUUACUUGCUCUGCGCACUUUCAAUUCCCUCCUGUGUGCCACCAUAUGGAAGAGAGACAUGUAUAGAUUCAUCCCUUCCCAAGAUACAAUUCAGUAUGCAUCCACUGAUCAAUCUCUUCAGUUUUUCAGAACAUACUGCAUGAGGGUCAUGUUCAACACAAUUGCCUUUUCCUUGCUGUGGUUUGAUUCUUCCAAAAUGCCUAACCAGUUUGAGCAAACUUCAGAUGAUAACUGUUCAGGUAAUUCUAGCUGAAAUGUACUAAUCUACAAUACUCCAGGCUUGGCAUCUGUCCUGGUUUCCAGCCUUAAUGGUGCAGGAAAGUGGCAAAUGCUCAUGAGUGCGGUUGGAGGCAAGAACUAAUCAGGUUCCUAUCUUUCUUCAGCAUAAGCACAGCAGUAGAAGUUGAGACUCAGACCAUUUGUAGUUGCUACUGAAUUAAUUCAGUUUUUCAUGGCUGCUCUAUCAACUGGAAGUCUCACAGAAGGAUUCCUUGUGAAGCUGUCAAAAGUGCUGGUUUCUAACCAGGAUUAAAAUAGCCUGGAGCAGACUUCAAGGCCAAUGAAGCCUGCAGAUGCUAGAACUAGGGAGUUCAAAGAUGGACUGUAUAGUUGAGCUCUGUGGCCAGGCAUGCAUAGUGUCCACAGUUACCUCCAGGUCUCCUCCUCCUUUUUUUGUUUUCCUCUUCUCUUGCCACUCAAAGGACCAUCAAGUUCAAAGCGUGCUUUGCCUGUAGGGGUAUUACCCUUUGUUUUACUUAUUGUUGCCUUUAUUUUUUGUUUGCUUUAUCUGAUGGUGGCUCCUUUACUCCGCCUAUAAUUUUCACUAUCGCACAAUCUUAAAGACUUUUGACAGAUUAGGCUGACAGUAGGUAACAUAUUCAGACCUUACUGGGGAAAGGCAUGAGGAUAGUGACAGACAACAGCUGAACGGAGUCACAUAUACAACAGUGAUAAACCUAAUAUUCUUGGAAGAUCAGAAAAAAAAUGUUCCCAAGAUUUUGUUCUUUGUUUCAGAAGUCUAUGCUUAUAACCUUUCUAUUUUUAUUUCUAGCCAUACAUUGAAAUACAUUUUCCAUGUGAGGCAAAAGGGAAAAUUUCAUACUGAAAUGUAUUUAUAGUGAGUAGCCAGCCUAAACACAGCAUCAGACACACAAAAAAAUACAAAUUUGCAAGGUGCUUUAAAUCUAAAAUUAGAUCUGAACUUUACACAUCUCUCUAGAUGUGUGUGUAUAUAUAUACCCGUGUAUGUAAGUUCUAUUGUCAAAUUACGAAUAACAUAAAACACCAUUUCCAAAUUUUGGAACAGUAACCUGGUAUUGCAAAAUAAAAAAAAAAAUUAAAACAACACCAUCACCACCACCAAAGUAACCCUAGCGAAUUCCUCGGCAUCAAUCCUUCUCACAUUUAGACCACCUAAAGUGUGCAGCGCUACACUGGGGAGACUUGAUCUGAUGCAGUCAUUUGAUACAGCAAAGACAUCCUGCCAAAUCUAAAGUCUUAUAAUGUAAGUAAAUCCUUUUACUUGAGAUGGAUUGUAAUGUUAUGAUGUUUUAUGGGAAUAAUCUACAUAGUGAAUAUUGCACUCAGAAAUAAGGGUUUGAAGCAAGAGAUUCUCAGAUAAAUAGAAAUAUUCUUUUUCUUGCAAAAUUUGGCUCUUCAGUUUGUCAGCCCGAGGAGUCUCUAGGAAUUAAUUCCUGAUGCACUUGAAGAAAUUUCUGUUCGUGAUUCAUUCAUAGAGAAAUAAACAGUAAAAACCUUUUUCCACAUCAACUUGCAACUCCAUUCAUAUUUAUCAACCGGUUCUUAAUCCAUUUAAUCCAGCCAGAGUGCCUGUGAAAAGGAGAGAGGUAUGGUGUGAAAUGUGACAGCCACCAGAGCAGCAGGAGGAAUCUGUUAUUUCAUACCCGUCCUUCCAUGUUGCAGUAGUUCUGUGGCUCCCAAGCGCGAUGGGGUGGGCGCCUGCACAGAAGCAGUUCCCAGGGAGACGCUGAGGCUUUGCUACUGAGGCAAUGCUGGGCACUGUGUCCUCAGGGGAAGGCAUGGGGUGGAGAAGCAGAGGGCACAGUGGUUGGCGAGUGUCUAGAGGUAGGAAACAUGUGCUUAUAUUCUUUAUUUUUUAAACUGUUACUUUUCCUUUCUUUUACUUUGGAGGUCUAAGAGACUGGCUUUGUCCCUAUUCCUCUACCAUGACCAUGAAACACCUGUGUGGAUCGGUAGAAAGAAUGGGUUUGGUGUGAGCAAAGGUCAGCUGUGGAUUUUGGAUUUUUCAGAUGCGUGCUUCUGAAGCUCUCUAUUAACACUGUGUUUGAAUCAGUAGCUUCAUCUCAAGCUGUAAUACUUCUGCGCUCAGUUCGGUGCUUUGAUGGCAUUGCAAGCUACAUUCCAGCCUCUUAACCAUAAUCUGUGUUUUCUUGGCACUGAAUGUGUGAACAAAUUUGGGAUUUGCUGGGGUUCUUGGGGGAGAUGAAUUUCAUCCUGUAGGAGAGGAAAAGCUCAAUGUCAUUAAUAAUGGAAAGUCAUGUUAAAUUUGGAUGCUUGUAGUGGAAUUUUAGAUUACGUAUCAAAUUCUCCUGGCCAGGAGGUGGGGGGGGAGAGGGUGUGUGAAAUACUUGUUCUCAACCAUCCAGAUUCUAAUGGAGUUGAUAAGUGCUUAUCAUAACAUUACAGGUACGUUUAAAGGUAAUGGCUGUGUACUUCUCACAGGUGUGUGUGGUGCAGAGAAAAACUCUUAGCCUUUUUUCACUUGAUUUGCCAAAUCCCCAGCCCUGCAUCAGGGCUCCCAGCUCUGCCCAGCUGCCGGAUGGUGCUCUGGGAUUCAUCCCCUGCACUGCCUGCUUCUCUUUUCUGUUCACUGGAUCCCUUUGCUGUCCUAUGACCUGUCUAAUGCGGAGGAGAAGAAACGUGGUUGACUGCACAAAGAGGUUUCCCUCAUCCAUCAGUUCAUCUUCCCCUCCAGCCCUCUGCCAUAAAAUUGGCCCGUGAAAAGGAACACUGGAAGAAAAAGGACAAAAGCUGGACUAAAGUAAUCAAAGGAAGGGAAGAAGGAAGAGGUGAUGGGAGCAGCCAGAGCUCAGCAUGUAGGGUGAAGGGAGCUGCACCAAGCAGGAAAAGAUGCUUUCUGUCUUUCACCUGAUGACAAUCCCUCCUGAAGUGCUGAGACUUGAAAUUAAAACAGAGACUUCAUUUCAUGAGUGUGUGUGAUGCCUAAUGCUGGUUUUAUAGAAUUAUGUGGAAACCUCAUGCAAAUUUGCCUUCAGGCUUUUCCAUGUCCUAACCCAGACAGCUCUUUCCUCCUUUCAAUGCUUAGCAACUUAUAUCGUUCUAAACUACAGAGACAGUGUAUUAGUUUACCCAAAUUCACUGUCAUUUGAUUGCAUUUUGUUUUACUCACAAGUGAAUGAUGCAGAGGUGCCAGUGCAAGAAGUCUUCCAUGCAAACCCCCGCUAGCAGCAAACAGAUGGACAGAUUCCAGGUUGUCUUAAUUUUUUCAAUUAGCUGUUCUAAUACAAUUCCUCACCAAGCAUUUCUGAUCUUCAAGGUGUUGCAUUUACAAGAAAGCAUUAGAGAAAGAGGAGGUAUCUUUGCUUAUCAGAUUAAAGAAACUAAUUAUGUUGAGGAUUUUUUAGUACUUAAAAAAACAAGAAGUGGGUGUUAGCUCUAUGUCAUGCUACAAAACAUCAACGUGGUGACCCCAUUUAAUUAUUUUCUUCAUUCACUAAGCUCCUAUAUCGGCAAGACUUCUUGCAUUUCACGGGGACAAUGGGAUACUCAAAGACAAAAGAUGAUGUUUAAAAAGAAAAUAACUAAUUAGAUGUCAAAGCUUUAUAUUAAAAGUGCUCAGUGAGAAAAACACUGAGGGAUUUUGCACAGAUACAAAGGCAAACAGGAGGUUUAUCCUAUUAACUAUGUGCUUCUAAUCCAUAUAUCCACUCAGAAUCUAGCCAUUUUAUCCAUCAGCCAGGCUGGUUUGCAUUAAAGAGGGACAAAAUCUGAAUAUGACGUGGGUAUUUCUAUGGCUUACUGUACCUUUUUUCAUAUGAUGUCAUUUUUUCUGCGUAAGUGGCUUUGCCAGGAUGAUUGCUGAAGUGAGAAUUGGAUACCAGGGUAUCAGUCAUUCUAUAUGUCUGCCACAAGUGCUCCUACUUCUUUAAUGCUGCUGAACUUUUGUUCAUAACGCACAAAUGCACACAGUUUUCAUUAUAGUACUGAAGCAUAAGUGGGGAGGACUAGAAAAUAAGAAAGUACCAGUCAGCACCUUUUUAAGCAUGCACAGUGUGUAAUUGAAAAUGUUGCAGGACCCAAUUGUCAACCUAAUAUCAUUUUAAGGCAUAAAAUCAUGGAACUGUUUUCUUCAGUAUUCAAGACGUGGUUAUGACAGACACUUAUAUGCUGGCGAAGUCUCACAUAUGUUAUCAGCAAUUCUGCAGCAUGGUUACAAGGAAAAUUGUUUGCAUAUUAAUUAUUACAUCAAAAGAAGAAAAUAGUGUUCCCUGAUCCAGAAGACACUUUGGAAGUCACCAAGGAAAGCUCCAAGUGGAGGAACAACAUAUAAGGUAAAUAGUGUCUUUUUCAGGGAGGAAAAAGAAAAAGAAAAAAAAAAAAGGACUGAGGCCCUGCAAAGUGCUGGUUAAGUGUAAUACACUUCAUGCAGAUUCAAAAGUGCAAAAUGCUACUAGAUAGAAGAUGAUGACAGAUCUUUGCUCUUGUCAGCAGAGAGACAGUAACUGUAUCAAGUCAUUAUCACCCAAGUUGUUACUGUGAAGUGUAAAUAAAACAAAAAUAGCGACACAGAAGAUUGUGAGAUUGUUGAUCCAGAUUCUGGAUAUUUGGAAACCAGCAACAGAAGACUCAGCUGCGAAGCACCUUCAUCUUGAACUGGAAGCUGAAUUUAGAGGAGUGCUAUGUUUUAUCAUGAAAAGAGAAAUCAUCCUGUAUCCAGACAGCUUGUGAUAAACCCGACAGCAAUAAUCUAGCACUAAAGACGGUCUAAAGCAGCCAAUUCAAAAGAAAAAUACCUUCAAGUGGUUUCGAGUAGAACAGCUUUACAGAUGAGAGAUGACAUCAAAGUAGAAACUGUGAAAGAGUUGUUGUCUUCUUGAUGAUGAGAAUUCAAUCACGAUUCACUAAUUAUACCUAUUUCAGUCGCAGUCUUUCCUGCACAGCGUUAGCAGAAGAAAGAUUUAAGACCAUCAACCACAAUACUUCACUCACUUGAAGUUCCAGUGCCAAGAUUUAGUUUAUGUAGUCACCUGCUGAAAGAAAUCCAUUCACCAAAGCACAUUUUGCUGCUAUUUAGCAUUCAGUCUUUAAGAGGCAAUGUGGAGCUUAUUUGACUCUGAUGCAGCAGAUUUCAAAUUAAAGAGGCUGAUGCAGGCCUUUUUAUCUAUAAGCUAGAAUCAGCCUCAGAGAGAGAGCUGGUACUGUCACCAUACGUUGUCUGCCGUGUGUAUAGUGUACUGGCUUGUGACUGUGCUGACAGACUUGAGGAGACAGUAUGCAGAAAAGAUGCAUCUCUGUUUUCAGCCUCCAUUCACUAGGUUACAGCAAGAAAGACCCCUAGCUAGUGCUUUGAAGAGCAGCAGUGUGCAAUUACUGUUUCUCCUGGUGAAGAACAUGGAGUCAGGUGAAGUAUUGAAAGCAUUGCCGUGCUUGCAGAGCCUGGUUUGGAUACUUCCUCACUCAUGUACCCAAACAGCCCCUCAGCACUUUGAAACUACCUUGAUAUGCUGUUUGUGCAUGUGGACUUUUACAUAUGUUUGCAAAUCCACCAUGUAAAAAUUAGUCUUUUAAUUAUUUGCUAUUUAUUUAUUCGUCCCUAUCAUAAAUUGAAGAAAUGAAGAAAUAAAUGAAGAAUUCUUGGUUAAGACUGGUUCUCUAACACUUCUUGGGGAAAAAAAUAGUAUACAAGAUCAUCAAGGAAGCAGUGAAUAACAACACUUGAAUUCAAAGACAUAAAUGCAUUUACUAUCAAAUCAAAGGCAGUCAGUAGGUAUUACCAUGGAGAGACAUAACACAAUAAUGUAAUUCAACUCAAGCAAAUUUCAAAUACAUAGACUUAAUAGGGACUGAGAAGUUGUUAUAAGUGUCUUUGCUGUUCUUAAGGAUACCUGGAUAUGCUCAGUGUGUUAGUUGAACAGAUUCUGUCUAUUUGUUAGCUAGCCAUCUACCUUGCAAAAUACUUCAGAUAGGUUGUAGAUAGCUACUGAAAAAUCACCAAGAAGCAAGCAUACACUCAUUUCAAGGAGAAACUGUAUUAAUUAUUAACUUGUCUUCAUAGAAAGGUUGUGACCAUUUGUCCCAACAGAAGUUUUGAUAGUUUCAGACAUCAGUGGAUAGAAAGGUGUCACUAUGAUCUCAGGAGAGGUGUGUAUCAUCUGAACUGACAGGAAUUCAUCUUGAAACUUGACUGUUGCUCAAAGCAGAGAAUUAGAGAUCAGACAAGUUCUGUCAUGCCCAUGUAGAUCCUGUUCCCUGAGAGCUUGCAACAUGGAAAAACUAUGCGAAAAAAAGAAAAAAAAAAAAAUCAUGGCAACUUUAGGUACAGAGGAGAAACAAUGCAUACCCUGCUGAAACCAUCCUCCAGCCAUCUGUCUGUGUUUCUGUGAAUUGAAUGGUUAAAAAGAUAUUUUCAGGACUUGUGGAACAUGUCCUGUGAUUAGUCCUCCCUGGUGAUGCACUUUUUAUGAUAACCUUGAAAAUACCACAAAAGAUCUGAGAGAAACAGCAGAAGGGCUAGUGCAGGAUUUGAUUUUGAAGGCAUAAAGCUGGGCACAGUACCCAACAAUGGAGAAAACAUUUGAGUUCUUCGUUGAGGAUUGGUGGCUGGAGGAAAGCAAAGGAAAGUUGCGCAACAAAUGUUCUCCAUUCCCUCUGAGAUCUGUUCUCUACACUCUCAGUGUUUCAGCUGGUGAGGACAAAUCAAACAUCAUUUCUCAAGACAAAUUUCUUUGUACUCCUACUUCAACAGAUAACCUUAUCUUGUCUGAUAUAUGGAACGUGGGUGUGAACUAGUCCCUAGUCCCUUUACUUCACUCAGUAAAGCGCAAUACAGCACUGUAAUAAGUAUGCAGAAAAAAAGAGUGCACAAAGUCCUCAAAGUACUUUUAGUGAUGGGAAACCUGAGAGACUUAAAUCACACUCAGAGAGUAUAGUUAUUAACAGAUCUGAGCCUGGAAAAUCACACGGUAACCAGAUUUCUUCCAGCAAUUAAAAAAUUCAUAUGCUGUCUGUCUCUAAAAGUGCAACAAGCAAUUUUAGUGAAUUUAGUUACCAACAUUUCAGUGCCAGCUAGGGUUGUGCAUUUUCCAGCCAGCUUCCCCACGUAUAGACUAUCUUUUCCAAAAGGCACUGUGUGCAAACUCUCAAGCAGGAAUUUGGAGAUAAUAUCCUCACUGGAGCACUGGCCAGGCAACUGAUGCCAAAGGCAAUCUGAAUCAUCCAAAGCUGUCCUGAAGCCUGGGGAAUGAAACUCCACCUGGCCCAUGCCACACCAAAGCAUGUAUAAGUAGUGAGAAUGACCUCACAGGCAUGGGCUGUGUCAAAAGCAAACGUGUACCAAAGAAGAUUGGAGAAGAUUUCUACAAAGGUUCUAAUGAGGAUUUAAAUGAGGAAGAUCAACUUUUUGUUGUACGGUACAGAUUUCACUCUUAAUGAAAGGAAAAGACUCUCCUCCUUAUUCAUUAUUUUUUUUUCCCGUGGUUUUAUUAAAAAUAUUCUCAAUAAUAGAUAGGUGAACUCUCACUAUGCAAAAUAAAUUACAAAUACACAUGUAAUUGCUGGACAGUCAUUAAGAACAAAAUUACAGCUACUAAGCUACCAGCCAUUGAAGAUUACAAUAUCUAAAUAAAAGUAGAUGUGUAUAGAUACCUUCAAAUAGUAUUAAAAUUUGCCACCUUACAUGGCAACAGGAACAUGGCAACAACAAGACUCCUAGCUCUGUUCACAGGCUUAUUUAGCAGGGAUUUCUUAAAGGCAACUGCAUGUACAAAGUAUUUUAAAAACAUUGAUAUUCCUAUUUCUUUCACAAAAAAAUGUUUGUUUUUUUUUCUUGCAAUGUUGCAAUAUUUAAGGGAGAGAAGUAAAAUACCUCAGGAAAGUUUAAAUUAAAAGGUAUGUCAUUUCUUGAAACCUGGAGGGAUUUCAAAAUACAUCUUCAACGUGCAUCAAAAUGAAAUGAAGUUAUUUUAAAUUGAAAAUACAUACAUAUUUGUAAGAGGCUGCCGUAGAUCCUACCAGCAACAUAUCUGACGACAAUACUCAGAGCCUGAAUUUUGGUGUCCUGUAUCCCUAGAAAACACCCCAAUAACCAGUACAGUGGCUGCUGUCAAAGGGAUUUGGAUUUUUUUACCCCCUUCCUCUCCCACUCCUCCUUUUCCUGUAUCUUGGACCAAGGAAACCUUCAUAUGGGAUGCUUUGUUAAAACUUAAGUGGUUUCAUUUCCACACACACUCCCUCAUAAUAAAAUUCUUCCAUGACUCAUAUAAUGGUAGUCAAGGCUUGGACAGUGCCCAGAGCCAGGUGUCUGAGCUAUGCUUUGAAAAUCUGGCCCAGUAUUUUCAGUACAAGAAAGGUUUGGCUGUGGUUUCAUUCACUGCUCAUUCAAAACCAACAAUACUUUAACUAAUGGUAUUCUGGAGUCCCCAGCUUCUCAGUGAACUUAUCACAGACCACUAAAUAAAUUACAGGUGAUUCCUCCUGGAAUAACAAAUUAAAAUAUUCCAUAAAAUCAACAAAUAUAGUGAAAAACCAUUUUCACAUUCUGAUGCAGAAUCUGAAUCCACAAUUUUAAAUUUUCCCAAAAUUGAUUUGUGAUUUGCUUCUAGCCACUCUGAAGUUUGCCAGAUUUGAACUGAUAGUCUAGUGAUAAGAAAAAUAUUUGUUCCUUUUAGAGCAUCCCUGAAUUAGGUUGAGCACUAACAGUGAUCUCUUAUAAAAAUUGGAAUGGAAAUGUAAGAUUUCUGUUAUAUCCCAAAGUAGACAGAGGUUUGACAACUCCUAUUUGAGGACAAUGCUACCAAUUUCAGAGGCAACAAUGCCUGUGAAAAGAGUGUAGGAACGGAAGAUUCUGCAUUCUUGUCUAACCUGAAGUAAUACUACUACGGAUAAAUUUUAAUACCACUGGAAAUUUGGCUCAAAAGCAAUAAAAGAAAUGCUCAGAAAACUAAAGAUUUGUCACUGGAGAUGGUCUACAGGCAAAAUUAUUCUAAACAGUUGAAUACUAAUAGAUUACCAUCAUUUUUACCAUGUGUGUACAAAUACAAAAAUGAACCUUUAAAGUCAUAUUUAGUCUACUUCAAGAAUGUAUUUUAUUUUUGCUGAACAAUUCCUUGAGCUACUGGAAAGUGCAUCAACUUUGAAUUUCUUCUUAAAUGUUACUGUACCUGAAACCAGAAUAAUUAGAACUUUCUAAGUUUUAUUUCACGAUUCUUUCAAAAUAAACAGUAACACAGUCUAAUGUA